GAAUGCUGACAUAAGUAACGAUAAAGCGGGUGAAAAGCCCGCUCGCCGGAAGACCAAGGGUUCCUGUCCAACGUUAAUCGGGGCAGGGUGAGUCGACCCCUAAGGCGAGGCCGAAAGGCGUAGUCGAUGGGAAACAGGUUAAUAUUCCUGUACUUGGUGUUACUGCGAAGGGGGGACGGAGAAGGCUAUGUUGGCCGGGCGACGGUUGUCCCGGUUUAAGCGUGUAGGUGUGUGUUCCAGGUAAAUCCGGUUCACUUUAACACUGAGGCGUGAUGACGAGGCACUACGGUGCUGAAGCAACAAAUGCCCUGCUUCCAGGAAAAGCCUCUAAGCAUCAGGUAACAUCAAAUCGUACCCCAAACCGACACAGGUGGUCAGGUAGAGAAUACCAAGGCGCUUGAGAGAACUCGGGUGAAGGAACUAGGCAAAAUGGUGCCGUAACUUCGGGAGAAGGCACGCUGACACGUAGGUGAAGUGAUUUACUCAUGGAGCUGAAGUCAGUCGAAGAUACCAGCUGGCUGCAACUGUUUAUUAAAAACACAGCACUGUGCAAACACGAAAGUGGACGUAUACGGUGUGACGCCUGCCCGGUGCCGGAAGGUUAAUUGAUGGGGUCAGCGCAAGCGAAGCUCCUGAUCGAAGCCCCGGUAAACGGCGGCCGUAACUAUAACGGUCCUAAGGUAGCGAAAUUCCUUGUCGGGUAAGUUCCGACCUGCACGAAUGGCGUAAUGAUGGCCAGGCUGUCUCCACCCGAGACUCAGUGAAAUUGAACUCGCUGUGAAGAUGCAGUGUACCCGCGGCAAGACGGAAAGACCCCGUGAACCUUUACUAUAGCUUGACACUGAACAUUGAGCCUUGAUGUGUAGGAUAGGUGGGAGGCUUUGAAGCGUGGACGCCAGUCUGCGUGGAGCCGACCUUGAAAUACCACCCUUUAAUGUUUGAUGUUCUAACGUGGACCCGUAAUCCGGGUUGCGGACAGUGUCUGGUGGGUAGUUUGACUGGGGCGGUCUCCUCCUAAAGAGUAACGGAGGAGCACGAAGGUUGGCUAAUCCUGGUCGGACAUCAGGAGGUUAGUGCAAUGGCAUAAGCCAGCUUGACUGCGAGCGUGACGGCGCGAGCAGGUGCGAAAGCAGGUCAUAGUGAUCCGGUGGUUCUGAAUGGAAGGGCCAUCGCUCAACGGAUAAAAGGUACUCCGGGGAUAACAGGCUGAUACCGCCCAAGAGUUCAUAUCGACGGCGGUGUUUGGCACCUCGAUGUCGGCUCAUCACAUCCUGGGGCUGAAGUAGGUCCCAAGGGUAUGGCUGUUCGCCAUUUAAAGUGGUACGCGAGCUGGGUUUAGAACGUCGUGAGACAGUUCGGUCCCUAUCUGCCGUGGGCGCUGGAGAACUGAGGGGGGCUGCUCCUAGUACGAGAGGACCGGAGUGGACGCAUCACUGGUGUUCGGGUUGUCAUGCCAAUGGCACUGCCCGGUAGCUAAAUGCGGAAGAGAUAAGUGCUGAAAGCAUCUAAGCACGAAACUUGCCCCGAGAUGAGUUCUCCCUGAGACUUUAGGUCUCCUGAAGGAACGUUGAAGACGACGACGUUGAUAGGCCGGGUGUGUAAGCGCAGCGAUGCGUUGAGCUAACCGGUACUAAUGAACCGUGAGGCUUAACCUUACA
rnacentral:rRNA from 1 species